CGGGAAGCCAUGCGGCGACGCAGAGCGGAACCGAAAACCUGUCUCAGUUCGGAUUGGAGUCUGCAACCCGACUCCAUGAAGCUGGAUUCGCUAGUAAUCGCGCAUCAGCCACGGCGCGGUGAAUACGUUCCCGGGCCUUGUACACACCGCCCGUCAAGCCAUGGAAGCCGGGAGUGCCUGAAGUGCGUGAGCGCAAGCAGCGCCCUAAGGUAAAACCGGUGACUGGGGCUAAGUCGUAACAAGGUAGC
rnacentral:rRNA from 1 species